ACGAAGCGCAGCUGACUGAGAGAGGAACGAGACCCACCCCCACCUUCCUCUCUCCUCAACCCUCCCCUUCCCCAAAGCAGCACCGGGAUGAGCUCUACUAUCUCUCUCAUCUGAGAAACCGGUCAUGCUUCCUCCAUGCCGACCAAUCCCGUUCGGGCACAGUGAGGUCAGCGCAGUGUAAACACAGCACACGGCACGAUUUAUGGCGUUUGCUGCGGCUACAACCAGAGCAUUGCGUGGAGAAUCGGCCCCGGAGCACAAAGACGCCAUUUGCACGGAGGAAAAGCAGAACCGAUGCGUCAAGACAAACCAAAACGCCUGCUGG